rnacentral:rRNA from 1 species
UGGGGAAUUUUGGACAAUGGGCGAAAGCCUGAUCCAGCAAUGCCGCGUGUGUGAAGAAGGCCUUCGGGUUGUAAAGCACUUUUGUCCGGAAAGAAAUCCUUGGCUCUAAUACAGUCGGGGGAUGACGGUACCGGAAGAAUAAGCACCGGCUAACUACGUGCCAGCAGCCGCGGUAAUACGUAGGGUGCAAGCGUUAAUCGGAAUUACUGGGCGUAAAGCGUGCGCAGGCGGUUUGCUAAGACCGAUGUGAAAUCCCCGGGCUCAACCUGGGAACUGCAUUGGGUGACUGGCAGGCUAGAGUAUGGCAGAGGGGGGUAGAAUUCCACGUGUAGCAGUGAAAUGCGUAGAGAUGUGGAGGAAUACCGAUGGCGAAGGCAGCCCCCUGGGCCAAUACUGACGCUCAUGCACGAAAGCGUGGGGGAGCAAACAGGAUUAGAUACCCUGGUAGUCCACGCCCUAAAACGAUGUCAACUAGUUGUUGGGGAUUCAUUUCCUUAGUAACGUAGCUAACGCGUGAAGUUGACCGCCUGGGGAGUACGGUCGCAAGAUUAAAACUUAAAUGAAUUGACGGGGUCAUAGCUGUUUCCU